AAUGAAAUGGAAUAGCCCCCUAAUUCCCCUUGCGCAUUGGCCGCCUCCUCCCGCGCACCCCGGAUCCGAUCGCGCGCAUCGCAUCAGAGAUCCGAUUUCCAGGGGUGCCGCCGGGGAGAUGACCCGGUGCGUCAGCUUCACCGCCUUUAGGGACCGGUGCUACGACCACACGUUCUACGCCGCCGGGCUACGCCCCACCAACACCGUCCUCGGUGACGGCGCCACCGUCCACUUCUGGGCCCCAAGGUCCCCCAACCCCGCCCGCCCCCCGCUCCUCCUCAUCCACGGCUUUGGAGCCAACGCCAAGUGGCAGUGGGCCGGCUACCUCCGCCCGCUUCUCCGAUCCGGGUUCGACCUAUACGUCCCCGACCUUCUCUUCUUCGGCGGCUCGGAGGCGCCCGGGCCGGACCGAUCGGAGACGUACCAGGCUCGGUGCCUGGCGGCGGCCAUGGAGGUGGCCGGGGUCCGGCGGUUCGGGGUGGUCGGGGUGAGCUACGGGGGGUUCGUGGCGUACAGGAUGGCGGCCAUGUUCCCGGAGGCGGUGGAGCGGGCGGUGCUCAUCUGCGCCGGGGUGUGCAUCGAGGAGCGGGACCUCGCCGCCGGCCUCUUCGUCGUCAACAACCCCGACGACGCCGCCAGCAUCCUCCUGCCCCAGCGGCCGGACAAGCUCCGCCAGCUCGUCCGUCUCUCCUUCUGCAAUCCGCCACGCAUCAUGCCCUCUUGUUGUUUCCGGGACUACAUCCAGGUGAUGUGCACAGAUUAUGUUACUGAGAAAACAGAGUUGAUCAAUACUCUAAUCAAGGACAGAAAACUUUCGGAUCUUCCUAAAAUAAUGCAGCCAACAUUGAUAAUAUGGGGAGAACAAGAUAAAAUAUUUCCAUUGGAACUGGGUCACCGAUUACAAAGGCAUUUACAGGAGAAUUCUCAACUAGUAGUUAUCAAGAAUGCUGGCCAUGCCGUUAAUCUAGAGAAGUCCAAAGAGCUCUGCGAGCAUAUACAGGCAUUUUUUCUUAGUUUUUCUCCCUACAGUCACAAAGAUCAGAUGAGUUAUGGAACGAGGUGGAAAGUAAUAGUUAGAUUUGCUGGGUUGAGCAUGAGGAGGCUUGCUUCUAAACUUCCACUGCUAUUACAGAAAAAGACAUGGAUAAAUCAGGCCAAUUAGAUGAGCUUGCCAAGGACAUCAAGAAGCAACAUCUAUGCCUAAAAUUUUGUAAGGUGUAACAUAAUUAAUAACUGAUUGCCCUUUUUCAUGACUAUAUGCUUAUGCAAGCGGGAGAGCUGCAUUCCUAAAAGAGUACGGAGCUGUUGCACAUAAAUCCAGAAGAAUAUCAUUUGUGAAGACAGAUUGUUCAUUCAGAAGAAUUGCUGGAAGUUUUAUAAAGUCAUUGAUGAUUUUUUUAGCCUUCUCCUUAUCAGGGUCCCACCCCAAAAAAAAAUGGUCGAAGGCUCAUAGUCUACAUUGAAUGGUGCAGAUUGAAUCUGAUUAUCUCUGGAAUUUUUGUAAUGCCAUCUCAAUUCUUAUUACCAUUGCCAUUUGAAACUUGAGUUUGUGUUAGAGGUCCAUCACCAGCAUAUUUUCUCUUCUUUCGUCUAUGAGUGUGACCUUAGGUGAUGUGUCUUUCAGCGAGUGAAUUCGGCCAUUUGCUGCUACACAACAAAGGAGGUGGAAAUCAUUGGCAAUGGGUUUCCACCCUCCAGAGUUCAUCUGAUAAUAUUGAUUCAUCAAUCCCUAAGACAACCAUUAAGGAGUGGAGAACUUGGAUGUGAAGUCCAAGCCCUAUACUGAGCGGCAAGAUGUUCAAGCUAGAGAAAUUGAGGACAACGGAUGAAAUCUGUGGUGGAUGAAUUCAGCUUGAUUGAUAAUAAAACAUCUUUUUUGGUAAGAUUA